AGCAGCGUGGAGUGUGCCUGCCCACAGCACAAACCUGUCGUAAGGAAGACUGAGGGCAUGCUGGAGUCAGCUAGGUGACCGGACAGAGCAGCCCACAGACCUGGGCCAGCGACGAGCGGCUGCUGUGAGCCCUAGAAGCAGAAGGAGCAAGAAGGCAGACGCUUGCCAGGCACCUAAGUCAGACAGCUAAGUCAGGAGAAAGGGGUUUGUGAGGAGGGCAGAUGGGGAAGAAAGCCUUCACACACAUUCAGCAGCUGACAGGUUGAGGUGUAGUGACAGAGAAUAGAAAAGGAGUGGCUAAUAAAAUAGGGUCUGUUUCCUUAGAAUACAGCCCAGAAAAGGAGCCAGACUCACAGCGGGGCAGCACCUGAGGCAGGCGCCCGCCCCUCCCUGCAGGUGUGGGCAGAGAAGGGGCAGCGCAGAGGAGAAGCCACCACACCUGGGACUCAGGAAGGCUCUGCCCAGGAAAGCGGGGGGAGUUCUGCUGUAGAGGAUGAGAAAGGAUUUUCUAGAUGUAAAUGUGAAGGUUAAGUGUGUUCUUGGCAUAAAUCAAUGAAAGGAAAACACACACCUGGGGCAUCAUGAGAAUUUCAGGGUAACUGGAGGAGGGGUGUUAUGUGGGGAAAGGAGGGGGAUGGGAUGGGAUACAUGGAGAGAGGAGAUUCACGGGGAGUCUGGGUCAAGACUGUGAAGCACAAAAUGAAGUCUUGUGGCAUUUGGAUUGGCUUCUGUGGAACGUGGCUUGUAUGUAUGUGUGUGUGUGUGUGCGUGUGCACACACAUGCAUGUAUGUGAUUGUAUUGAUGCUUAUUUCAUUAACUGAGAAUGAGAAUAGAGAUGGAGGAGCAGACUCAGAGGGAAAGGUAACGAUUUCAAUUUGGGGCAUCUUCCAUUUGAAAUGCUUUGGACCCUCCAUGCAGACAUGACCAGAAUCCAGAUGGAAUCAAAAGUGUAAGGGAGUCUUUAACAAAAUAAAAACCCAGAGUAGUCCAGGCUGGCACAGGCAAGGGAGUGUCCAGGUGGGAGGGGCAGCCGGAGCCCAGGACUGAGUCAGCUCCCCUGGGAGGAGCACCCUUCUCACUUGAACCCGGUUGUGCCCACAGCAAUAUUUCUCGUUUUCCACAUCACUCUACAGCGCGGCUAAGAACAGCCCGGAUUAUCUGAACAGACAUAAUCCAAGUUCACAUGCACCUGCGAGGCUCUAAUGGCCAGGCAGCCCUUCCCAACCACGUGCGACGUGACCUACUAUUCCGAUGGCGUGAUGAGGCAAUGAAAACCCCUCAAUAUUUCAGUCAACCAAACACUUCAUGGAUAAAAAGUCUCAUUUGAUAAAGGCACGUGAAACGAUGGUAGUAAGGGGCGUCUGAGACUCAACAACCACAGGUCUGCGUACUCUCCCCUUACAGAUCCCUUGUAACCGGUGUCUGAGAAGACAGGGACUUCACAACCUACUUGACCAUGGAAUGGAUUUUUCAAGUAACAGGCAGAAACCGUUGGGUAGAGGGAUAACGAAAGAUCUGCAGAGAAAGGGGAAUCUGGAUUGCAAAAUAGAAGUGUCUUUUCAAGACACACAGGUGUUACCCCAACUUCUGCUUGUUGGCUCUCCUCGAGUGCAGUUAACUCGCCGAAUGCAACACCAUGGUUUGACUUGUCCACUAUUAUCCAAGACUUUCAGUACAGCAGCAGAGGCCUCAUUUGAUUCUGCUAGGUUCUGGAACUCGGAAAGAUUUUGCAGCUGGAAGUUCGGGUCGGGAGCCAUCAGUUUAGAGAGGCAGUUAAAACCUACUGAAGUUAUAAAUCCCCCAACUCAGGGAGGGAGGGAUUGGAAGAGAGACAAACUCAGAACCCCAAGGAGGACAAACAUGACGUUUCUACAAAAGGAGCCUUCUAGGUCCUUUCAUUAGACACAAGACUGUGAUAGGAGAGAGUGAAGACAAGAUAACGGAUGGACACAGAAUGAGUGGGACAACUGCCUUGCCUUGUCCAACCCUCCCCAUGCGCUGAGGGAUCCAUGGCCCACGCUGUGCGUGUGCGCACAUGGAUGGCUUAUGAUUACUAGAAAUGACGUGUUACCUGUCUAAUGCAUCAUAUUAAUAGCUGAUAACAAAGUAACACUACGUGAUUUUCCCUGUUACUAUAAUAACGCUUCAACUUUUAAGAAACGCAUAUCUUUUCUCUCUCUAAGAGUUAAGACAUCUUGCAAACAAAACAAAAGAAUACAGAUAAACAUCAAAUGAAAAAUCCAGUGGAAUGGAAAGCAGGACAAAGCAGCUAAGUGUGUAAAUUAAACACCAAACGUUAAGCUUUGUGGCCGCCAUGGGGAAGCGGGACACACGGUGCGGCCUGUACCAUGUGAGACAGGGGAGCAGGUGGCAACUCCCGAGAGGAGAAGAAGGCUUUUCUCCUCUGCUACUCCCGGCCCUGAAGAUUCGGAUGCUAAAUUGGAUAAUCUUAUCGCAACAAUUUCACAACAAAUGCAUAAAUAGUAUUCAUUUGCAAGUAGCUUGAAGCAAUUUUUAAUAAAAAUCAGACAUAAUACUAAGGUAUAAUUUCAUUACAGUGUUAAUUUUAUCUGGUCAUUGAUUGGGUCCAAAGGAGGAACUUAGAAUAUCUCCAUUAGAGCGUCCUUUAGGUUCUCUUCCUCAGCGUCAUUUUCCUGAAAGCAGGCUUCGGAUAGCAGCCGGAUGGCAGAAGAUGACAGUCGCGGUCCUAGCGAGGAACACAGAUUCCUUUAAUCACAGGUUGGGGACAGACACAUAAAUCUGAGCUGCCAGAUAAGCAGAGGUGGAGUUAAUUCUUCCCUUAAAAAGUUAGGGAACCCACAGCAAGGCUACCUUCUGAGGCCCAACGGUGGGCUGUGGGGGCAGCUGAUUGCAAAACCAUAAUUUUUCUCACAUAGCAGUGCGGGGUCUGUCCCAGAACAGGAACUCUCAUUCCGUGGGGAAUUCAGAGUUCUCUGAGGCAGAGCAGUGCUUCUCUCCAGGUUGUCUCCCGGCCACCUCCGUCACUGCUACCUGGAGUCCUUGCAAGGAAAGCGGACUCCUGGGCCCUACUCCACACCUGCUGAAUGGGAAUAUUAACACCCAGCUGCCUGAAAGAUUCAGGGGUCUGUGGUUUAACACGCUCCCCAGCUGUUCAUAGACAUAGGAAAUUUGAUCACUAUGGCCAAAAAGGUUAUAACUCACAAAAAAGUCUCAGAGCUGGUGCUGCCAUUUAGGCAGAGAUGGAAGCACCCAUCUUCCUUCCAUCCCCUGUUUCUAUUCCUUUUCGCUCUUCCUUAUCUCCAUUUCUUCCUUCCUCAUGCAUUUAUUGAGCAACUACUGUAUUCCAGGCCCUGCGUAAAGUGCUCAGGCUACAGAGACGAAUGAAAGAUGGUCUCAGCUCCUUGAGCCACAUGAUGUCCAAUAUGACUGACAGGAAGAGUU